CCUGCCGCGAGAAGGGCAGGACAAGACUGUUCCGAAAUCUGCUUCGAAACAAUGUCAGUCACCUCGGAGAGCACAAAAGAGAUGGAACACUUUUAGCACAAUUAAAAGACAUGUAUAACUGAGGGGUCAUGUUGUUGACAGCCAGGCUGAGGAGCUGAGGACAAGGCUGUGAUCAAUGGGAGGGUUUGCAGGCUGAUUGCUCAGGCCUGGGCACAGAUGGCUGAGGUCCCUGACAUCCCAGUGCUGAAGGCGUCAAUGAGAGAAGACACAAACAGCCUUGGAUGAGAGUGGGGGCCGAGGGGCCACAGCCUUUCAAACAUGAAUUAGGCCUGACAGGAUAUCUGAAUGCCACACCUAUCUAAUUUUGCAGAGGAAAUGAAGUCCUAUGGAGAGGAAAUUACAGCUAAGAAGAGGCAGAGUGGGGGACCUUCACCAUCCCAGAGUUGAAGAAGUGUGUAGCUGUUAAUUUUCAGUAUCACCUUGACUGUACUUGAAACCACCAUGGAAAUGCACAUCUGGAUGGGUUGUGUAUGCAGAUGUUCCCAGACAAGUUUAACCAAAAUGGGAAAACACAUCCUGAAUGUGGGCAGCACCACCCCAGGGACUAGGGCCCUGGUUUGGAAAAAGAAGAAGAAGAAAAUGAAUCAUGUACCAACUUUCAUUUCUGCUCCCUGAUUGCUGAUGCAAUGUGACCACCCACCUCACACUUCUGCAGCUCAACCUUCCUCACUGCAAGGACCGUGUCCACGAAUAACCCCCUAGCACAUUACAAGGUCAAUGAUACCUGGGUAGCAAGUGGAGAGAUGUUCGGAGAGUCACAGGACUGCAGGGCUAAGCAUUAGAGCACACUUACUUCUUCCCAAAGCCAAAGGUCUGAUCAGCCCUUCAAGCCACAUGGAGAAGGCCAAGCGAGAAGCGCUCUCACCUGAGUGUGAGCUCUGGACUGUGAAUUUCUAAUCUCAGGACAGCUCGUACCCCAGCCUUCACCACAGCACCCUGGAGAUUGGCAGCCUUCUUCUGUGUUAACUUUGCUCACUGCAAGCUUUCAUUCAGGGUGACGUUCCUGACAGCAUCUGUGGGAUGAUUGCAGGGUAGAAAGACUGUAACCUUUAAAGGUUUGUGAAAACUCUCCAAGUGGGAGGUCUGUCAUGCUCUGUGGGGCGUUUUGGCAGUGACUACAUAACACUGUUUCCCUAUAAACUCUGGUGCCUGAGCUCUGCAUGAGAGGUGAGCCACACAGACGGAGGUAGGGGCAGAGGGAUGCAAGGGUGUCAGUGAAGAUGACAUUAUGGACUCUGGGAUGUCAGAGGGGAGCCACUGGAGGAAGGAAGGAUGUGUUCCAGCCUUGGAACACAGAUGGUAGACUCCAGAAAUGAGGAAGUGCAGCUUAGGGCUGGGAGACCCUCCAUUCUCCACCCACACCAAGGCUCUUCCUUGUUACUUCAAAAUGAGCCUCCACCUAGCCACCUCAGGGUGUCUGCCUCCCUCUCUUCCACUAUCAGGUAACUCAAAAGACCUUUAAGCUUCAACUCACUGCCCCGAUGCCUUCUUCUCCACUCUUUACUUCCAGGUACCUGCUUGUGGCCUGCCCUCACCUUCAGGGAGGCAAGCCUGGGGGAUGUAGGGCCCCAGCAAGUACCAUCUGUUUGACAUCCUCACAAACCCAGAAGGAAGCCAGCAGACACAGGCAGCUUCAGGCAAGAGAGACAGAAUUUGAAGAUCUGAGGGAAGCUGGGAAGUUAAUCUCAGCCCUACCAGAGAUGCUGCAGGGCAUCUCAGAGAAAGCUGGAUGAAGGCGGAGCGUUGGAAGGGGAGCACACACUUUCCAGGCUGAACAAAUGCACAUGGGUCUUCUUGGCAGAGGACUGUCAUGUGCAGAGGAAUGAAGAUGCAUCUGUGGUGGAGCAUAGGCCAAGGCUUCUGCACCCUGUGGUGUGGAUGUGGUUUGGCUCUCAUGGUUCACAUGCUAGAAAUUUGGACACAGUUUUAACAUAUGGCAGGCCCUUUAAGAGGUGGGGCCUUGUGGGAGCUAAAUGGACCACAGGGAGUCUUUCUACUCUUUAUUAAGCAUCUGAGUUGGCUCUCUAGAGGCUGGCUUUGUCUCUCUGGAGUGAGUUAAACCUACAUGACUGGCUUGGUUGCUGUAAGAGUGGAUUGCUGUGGAACGGCUGGGCUCACUCAGCUUCUGCAGAUGCGCCUCUUCUUUGCACACGCUGCUUCUGCCUCCACUUCUCCCUGGUGAGAUGCAUAUGGGCUACCACACAGACAACUGCAUCCCAGAGAGAUCGGUACUAUUCCCACUGCCUGGAAUGUGGGCCCUGACCCUACGCAUUGUGAAGCUCAACCCCACCUCAACGUCGUCCCAAAAUGAGUGACAGCGAGAAACUCCAGUCGCGGUGGUUGAGGUCAGCAGUGCAUAGCAUUUAGCUCCCCUGGGGCACAGAACUGUUGGCAGCAGUCUCUGGCUGGCCCAGAUAUUGAGCUGUAACUUUCUGCUGGGCUCUGCAUAGCCUGGCAUUGUGCCACGGAGACCCCCUGAUCCUCAGUGGAGACACUCAAAAGAUAAACCCUUCACGCCACGCAACUGGUCCAAGUCUUAGGAGUUUUCUGUGAUAGAGACCCAUGUGAAUUUUUCAUUGGUGCUCAGUAUACCAAAGCAAAAGCUGUCGUCAAACGUACGUAAACAAAUGUGAAUCCCCCUGCCUAAGUGCAAACUACUUCAUCACAGUAAGCUAUUUAAGUCAGCCUCAGACAAACAUGAUAUGAUUUCUCUCAUUUGUGGUUCCCAGAUCUUAUACAGAGGCAUACACUCACAUAUGUACGUGACAUGAAAGAAGUGAGAUUGCCCAGGGGCACAAAGGGACGAAAUGGGAGUAGGGAAAGGCAUAAAAAAGGGAAGGCAGAGAGUGGUCUGGGGGCACAAAUGCUCAAUUAUAAAACAAAUACAAAUAGAUAAAUCCAUUCCUAAAGACCCUCCUGGGAAUCACAAGGCUACUCUGAGCAACUGGGAACGUGAGUCUGUGUCUUGCCCUAAGCUACUCUGUGUGUGUAUGAUUGUGUUUUUUCAGACUGUCUUGCCCCGUGUCUUAGUUAGGGUUUCCAUUGCUGUGACCACAGCAACUCUUAUAAAGGAAAACAUUUAACUGGGGUUGGCUUACAGUUUCAGAGUUUUUGUCCAUUAUUUGCCAUGGCAGGAGGCAAGGCAGCACACAGGCAGACAUGGUUCUGGGGAUGUAGCUGAGAGUUCUACAUCUUGAUCUGCAGGCAACAAGAAGUUAACUGAGCACCACACUGGGUGUUGUUCAGCAUAUAUGAGACCUCAAAGUUCACCUCCACAGUGACACACUUCCUCCAAGAAGGCCACAUCUACUCCAACAAGGCCAUACUUCCUAAUAGUGCCACUCCCUAUGGGCCAAGCACUCAAACACAUGAGUCCAUGGUAUUCUAUUCAAACCUAUUCAAACCACCACACCGAGAAAGAUUACAAUUUAAACCUUUCACUCCAUUUUAAAGAUAGAGAAUGACUCUUUACCUGGUUAGACACAAAUAGCAUCCUCUAUCCAGCACCACCCUGUUGCAUGAAUUCUAAAGGUCUUAUAAUAAGAAAACCCAGAGCCAGAUAUUAGGGCAAAUGCUGAAAGAUCAGAGAGACAAAGGAAAAACCCACUAGAGAAACUUCUCACCAGUACUGAAUCCUCAGGCCCAAUGGAAGGCAAGAUCCUAUCUCCGUGAAUCCUCUGACUGAAAUCCUCUGGGUCCUCAGCUGAAAAGCCUUUAGUUCCUAUCUUCUCAUGCCUUAUAAGCCUUUCUCCACUCAGCCAUUUCACUUCCUUCCUAGUGCUGGAAUUAAAGGCAUGUGUGCUUCCCAAAUACUGGUAGCAAAGGCAUGAGAUCUCAGAUGCUAGGAUUAAAGGCAUGUGACUCCCAAGUACUGGAAUUAAAGGUGUGUGCCACCACUGCCUGGCUCUGUUUCUCUCCUAGACUAAAUCAAUCUCAUGUAGUCUGGGGUGGCUUUGAACUCACAGAGAUCCAGACAGAUCUCUGCCUCCCGAAUGCUAGGAUUAAAGGUAUAUGCCACCGCUGUGUGGCCUCCAUGUUUAAUCUAGUGGCUGGCUCUGUCCUUUAUUUGAUACAUAUUAUAUCACCACACCAUCCACUCAGCGGAGUAACUUCUACUGAAAGUAGAAAGUGUGUUACAUUUCAGACUUAUUGGGUGAAUUGAGACUGCAGCAGCAAUGAGUAUAUUAAAAUUAUAUUAAAAAAAACUAGGCUUGAGAGCCAGUAAGACACAGCAGACCAAGGGAAGGCUGUGACAUUCUCAUCCAGACCUCUAAAGAAGAAGACAUCUAACACUAUGAUGGCAAUGGCCCCAAGAACUCUAACCUCCCCCCCCCCCCCCCCCCCCGCGCCCCGUACAUGUGCCAAGGACCAACAGGCAGAGUACUCCCGACUAUCUCAGGUGCUUCAGUUUGACUGGCUCCCCACUAUUAAUAUCCCACAUUCAGGCUGCUGACUGCCCGCCCUCCCUUCAUCUACAGCUGCGAUCCAUCCAUUUCCCCCGUCACUCAUCUAGACCUGACACCCGUUUAUCCUCCCAUCCCCUCAUCCGAAACUUGACAUCCACCCAUCCUUCCUUUCGUCUGUCUGGACCUGCUAUCCACCCAUCCACCCUCCUGUGCAUCCAACUGGACCUGUCCUGCUCUUUGCUUCACCUCACUCUUGUAGCUCAGCUCACACACAGCCUGGCUGGAGACAGUGGCAGCUGCUGGCUCCCCAGCUUACUCUUCAGUUGCCCUGGGUUUCUCAUCAAUGCAGGCUCUGCAUCUCUACCAGCUUCCUUGUCAUUCAGGACUUCUGAAAGCUAUUGAGUUCUGCUGCAGCCUCGUGAUCCUUUGAAAUACCUGCAAUCUUCAUACAGACAAUAGAUAAAUAGAUUUACUGUGAGAUGAGAGUUGAUAUUCAUAGUUAGGAUCAGAAUAAGAGGACCUCAUCCAGGAUCAUCACAGAUGGUGGAAUCGCCAGGUCGGUUGUCGCCACUGGCACCAGCACACCCUGUGAUUUGAUUUGUUGUCACUCGAUAAAUUCUGAUGUUGUGGAAAGACAAAAAUAUGUUUGUCUAUGCUUCAGACAAGUCAUGACCAUGACACCCACCCUCAGAAGUUACUCAGUCUCAGUUUCCAUUGGACAAAGACAAAUCACGUGACUAGCCUAGACUCAAGGAUUAAACCAGGCUGAGAAUACCCAGAGCCCAGGCCUGCUAACCCACCCCUGGGGGGAUGUGUGGUUCACACACAGUGUAAUGGACAGGAAGAGAGACUUGUUGGGUGGUCCAGUGUCAGAACACUGGUCGUAUGCGUGUUUUCCACAUGGUUCCCAGCCAAGGAUACCGGCAAAGCCUCUGUCUCUCCGGAAUUCACUCUUAAUUCUUACUCACCAGAAACCACCAGAUCCAUGUGCUGAUGGGACAAAGGAAACUAACUUGGUUUUAGCAGAUAAGAUUUCUCUCCAGCUCCUUUCCCACUUAUGUCUACGUAGCGCAUAUUUGUGUUUCCAGUGCAGAGUUCAAACAGUGUCAAGGAAAGCCUCGCCUUUCUUCCAGCUAGAGUUUGUAGCAACUGGAAGGGGUUGUAUAUUUACCAUGUGUUUACUUACACAUAGUGAGUGUUGUUUCCUAUGAGCCUUCAGACAUACAUGUCAUUCUUUGUCAUGGCUACAUUCAACACCAUGCUGGGGACACAUGCUCACUGAGUUUCCAGUUAGUCCUUGUGAAUGGGUAAUGUUUAGAUAGCAUCCAUUUUGGGUGUUUACAUAUAUAAAUCCAUUCUUCCUUGUGUCCAUAUUGCUUUUAUUUUCUUUGUCUCUAUCACAGGCUGUGACAAAAUUAUUGCUUUCUAUGGGAGUUACUCUGCACAGAGUUCAUUGUCAAUUGUGAAGUAUGUUCUGUCCCUGUCUGCAAUUGCCCUAAUAUUCUUCUAAGGACAGAACCCGUAGAAGCAGACCUAACGAUGAGGUCAAUACCCACCCAGUGAGGUGCCAUCCCUCUGCCUCUUACACAUUUCCCAGGAGUCUGGAAAUUUGGAACUCAUACAUGCAACUCUUCAUUUUGCUUUUUAUCAAACCCUAUUAAUUCACACUUCAAACACGAAGAAGAAAUGUCUCCAGUAAAGAUGAUAAUAAUUUUCAAGACAAAUGAGAACUUGAAAAUGGAAUGGCUGAGGAAGUGGACUCAGUUCCUCUGGGGGCUGAGGAAGGGGAUUCAGUUCUGGUAGAUAAACCAGACUCAGAGUCUUCCUUCGAUGCUGAGGAUACACUUUUCAGGCCAAUGGGAUCCCAAGGUUUCCCCCAGUUAGUAUUAAAGAAAGUAGUAUCAGCACUCUUUCUCAUGCUGUGGAAGGCAUCCGAGCUUUACUGGGUGCUAAUAUUGGUAGUCUUGACUCCAAAGUAAAUAUGAGUCACAGAGUCAGUCAGGGGGCCUGAAGAGCCUGCUACAGCUAAGCAUACCAUCAACAAAGACAGAACUACAGAAGGCAAACUGUGCCAUCUCUUGAACAAGGAAGGGUGACUACGGGAGUAAGCAAUGGGGACCAAACCUGGGCACCUGUUCAGAUGUUAAGAACAGCUGGCCUGGAGCCAGGAGAACUGAUCUUUUGUCUUCGAGAAUUUCCUGAAGGAAAAUGUGUAGCUGACAAGGAAAGAAUUACAGCAUAUUUACUAUAGUCGAGGCAAAUUAAGGGUGAAACUCUGCAGGCUACAGUUACAGACAUUUUGGGUUUCAUUGGUUGCUUGGAUCUAGUGAAACAGAGAUCCACGAUGUUCUCACAAUGAAUGGGGGAGCACUAAGAGAUGCGGUUGCUCUUGGGACAUCACAGAAAUCAGCCAGACUUACUUAGAAGCCUGUUCAUCAGCCUUGAUUACAUCUGUGGUUUAAAGCACUGAGCCCAUAUAACUUCCUGAUGGAUUACUUCAGGUAUCAUUGGAUGAAUGUGGAGGAUGCUAUUGAAAAUUGGGAUCACAUGUAUUUUCACUGAAUGUCAUUGUUGGAAGAGUUGAAAUGUGCUGGAAUAAUGAACCAUUUAUGACAGACAAACAUAGGCAAGAUCCUCAGGGAACAAAUGCAAGCUGCACCAAUGACUGAAGCUGCGAGAACCAGAGGAAGGCGCUACAUGUAAAGUAGUGUGUGAGAGACUUCCCGAGGAGACAGGGAGACACAACACACGUGCAUUUACUCACCCCAGAAAGAGAACUCAGGGUAGACAAAAGUAACAGUUGUGCCCAAAUCCAACUUGAUGAGGUUACUAACAGGGGUAUGGAUGGGAGUUACAAGUGAAGGGAUGGCUCAAAAUCAGCGGCAUCACUGCAAAGCCCACCCCCACACAGGUGACGACUCAUGAGGCUGCAACCCUGGAUCUCUGCACAACCUGCAAGUAGCUCCACAGGUCCAAGAAUGUCUGUAGCUCUACUGAUGAGUCUCCUCCCUCAGUACUCGGCUACUGUUUCUACAAAGCCGAGGAGAAGUCUUCCAGAACCUUCUAAAUUUCCACCCUCCCAGACAUUGAUGUUUUGUUUACCCCUGCGUCUCAUAAGCUUAGCCCUCCCUCUGGGAGAGGAUAUUUCAUUCAGAGGAAACUGCCGUACAACACAUUGUAAACUGGAGGAUAACAUUAAAAAUGUUUUUUGUUUAGAAACAA